rnacentral:rRNA from 1 species
AGUCGAGCGGACAGAAGGGAGCUUGCUCCCGGAUGUUAGCGGCGGACGGGUGAGUAACACGUGGGUAACCUGCCUGUAAGACUGGGAUAACUCCGGGAAACCGGAGCUAAUACCGGAUAGUUCCUUGAACCGCAUGGUUCAAGGAUGAAAGACGGUUUCGGCUGUCACUUACAGAUGGACCCGCGGCGCAUUAGCUAGUUGGUGAGGUAACGGCUCACCAAGGCGACGAUGCGUAGCCGACCUGAGAGGGUGAUCGGCCACACUGGGACUGAGACACGGCCCAGACUCCUACGGGAGGCAGCAGUAGGGAAUCUUCCGCAAUGGACGAAAGUCUGACGGAGCAACGCCGCGUGAGUGAUGAAGGUUUUCGGAUCGUAAAGCUCUGUUGUUAGGGAAGAACAAGUGCAAGAGUAACUGCUUGCACCUUGACGGUACCUAACCAGAAAGCCACGGCUAACUACGUGCCAGCAGCCGCGGUAAUACGUAGGUGGCAAGCGUUGUCCGGAAUUAUUGGGCGUAAAGGGCUCGCAGGCGGUUUCUUAAGUCUGAUGUGAAAGCCCCCGGCUCAACCGGGGAGGGUCAUUGGAAACUGGGAAACUUGAGUGCAGAAGAGGAGAGUGGAAUUCCACGUGUAGCGGUGAAAUGCGUAGAGAUGUGGAGGAACACCAGUGGCGAAAGCGACUCUCUGGUCUGUAACUGACGCUGAGGAGCGAAAGCGUGGGGAGCGAACAGGAUUAGAUACCCUGGUAGUCCACGCCGUAA